rnacentral:rRNA from 1 species
UGGGGAAUAUUGGUCAAUGGGCGCAAGCCUGAACCAGCAACGCCGCGUGAGGGAUGAAGGUCUUCGGAUUGUAAACCUCUUUCAGCAGGGACGAAGCGCAAGUGACGGUACCUGCAGAAGAAGCACCGGCUAACUACGUGCCAGCAGCCGCGGUAAUACGUAGGGUGCAAGCGUUGUCCGGAUUUAUUGGGCGUAAAGAGCUCGUAGGCGGCCUGACGCGUCGGAUGUGAAAACUCGGAGCUUAACUCCGAGCCUGCAUUCGAUACGGUCAAGCUAGAGGAUGGCAGGGGAAACUGGAAUUCCUGGUGUAGCGGUGAAAUGCGCAGAUAUCAGGAGGAACACCGGUGGCGAAGGCGGGUUUCUGGGCCAUUUCUGACGCUGAGGAGCGAAAGCGUGGGGA